rnacentral:rRNA from 1 species
GAUGAACGCUGGCGGCGUGCCUAAUACAUGCCAGUCGAGCGAACGGACGAGAAGCUUGCUUCUCUGAUGUUAGCGGCGGACGGGUGAGUAACACGUGGAUAACCUACCUAUAAGACUGGGAUAACUUCGGGAAACCGUAGCUAAUACCGGAUAAUAUUUUGAACCGCAUGGUUCAAAAGUGAAAGACGGUCUUGCUGUCACUUAUAGAUGGAUCCGCGCUGCAUUAGCUAGUUGGUAAGGUAACGGCUUACCAAGGCAACGAUGCAUAGCCGACCUGAGAGGGUGAUCGGCCACACUGGAACUGAGACAUGGUCCAGACUCCUACGGGAGGCAGCAGUAGGGAAUCUUCCGCAAUGGGCGAAAGCCUGACGGAGCAACGCCGCGUGAGUGAUGAAGGUCUUCGGAUCGUAAAACUCUGUUAUUAGGGAAGAACAUAUGUGUAAGUAACUGUGCACAUCUUGACGGUACCUAAUCAGAAAGCCACGGCUAACUACGUG